rnacentral:lncRNA from 1 species
GUUGACUCCUGAUGAGUAACUGCUCACCAGUGUGUCCUUCUUAUGGAUCCAUUGCCUGGUCCCCAGCUUUGUGCAACACACAUUAGUCAUUUCAGCCUCAUCCCUCACUCUGUCCCCACUGAGCUGAAUAUCAGAGGGUUGGGGUUCUGGCACUGAGAUGGAGGAGUAAAUAUGACAGUUUUUAGAAAGAAGUCAUUUUGGUCUCCUCUAGAAAAUCAUGUCCAUUCCUUCAGUCCCACAAUAACCCACUUGUGGGUACUGCAUAAGCACCCCACUGCCUCCCCAUCUCCCUUGUUUGCCCUCCCACUGACUCCAGGCCCUGGAGAGGCACAGGUGGAUACUUACGCUGCUGGGGUGGAGGAUGGGCAGAGGCAGCAGCAGCAGCGGAACGCAGACGACCAACAGCAGGUUCCUUGCUCCAAGAAGGCCCUGAAGAAGGCCCAUGGUGGCCCUAUCUCCUCUCCGCGCCCCUGGACCUGCUCUGCCCGGAGCGCCUUUGGUCCUCACUACGCACGGCAUCUGUCCAGGAAGACUUCUUAAACCUUUCUUGGCUCCCAAGAGUCCUCUCUGGUCUUGGGGGCAGAAGAGGAGGGCUGUUCUACCCCCUUUCCCACCGAGGGCUGGGCUCCUGGCCUUGGCCUUAGGUGGGAUUGAUGAGCAUGGUUUUAUGACCAGCGAGAAGGAACUGGGGCAUAGUGGGUUCCCUCUCCGCGUGGUUAGCAAGAGAGCAACCUCAUUCUAGCCAUCGGGAAAAGCCCUCUUAAGCGAUUAAACCCACACUUUGCUGCUGUUCGGCUUUGAAG